rnacentral:rRNA from 1 species
GACGAACGCUGGCGGCGUGCUUAACACAUGCAAGUCGAACGGAAAGGCCCUGCUUUUGUGGGGUGCUCGAGUGGCGAACGGGUGAGUAACACGUGAGUAACCUGCCCUUGACUUUGGGAUAACUUCAGGAAACUGGGGCUAAUACAGGAUAGGAGCUCCUGCUGCAUGGUGGGGGUUGGAAAGUUUCGGCGGUUGGGGAUGGACUCGCGGCUUAUCAGCUUGUUGGUGGGGUAGUGGCUUACCAAGGCUUUGGCGGGUAGCCGGCCUGAGAGGGUGACCGGCCACAUUGGGACUGAGAGACGGCCCAGACUCCUACAUGAGGCAGCAGUGGGAAGUAUUACACAAUGGGCGGAAGCCUGAGGCAGCAACGCCGCGUGCGGGAUGACGGCCUUCGGGUUGUAAACCGCUUUCGCCUGUGACGAAGCGUUAGUGACGGUAAUGGAUAAAUAAGCACCGGCUAACUACGUG